rnacentral:lncRNA from 1 species
GGCAAUCCUGCUAUAUUUUUACUUUUUAACACAUUUGGCACAUAUGUUGUAUUUGGUCCAAAUGAAUCAUAGCGUUGAUGUUAUUUAAUGCCUUCUUAACACACAAUAUACUAUACAAAGUAACAUUGUAAGACAAGCUCUCUUCCAAUGUUUAGCUCAACGGACCACAAAGCGCUGUCGUCCUUUGUGCGUGCGUCCGUCCGUCGUCAGCAAUUGUGUUUAAACGACAUCUCACCUAAAACUUUUGAAUAAAAUUUGAUGAAACUUGGCGUGAAGGAUCCUUGGAUUGUUUUCUACCAAAGUUGUUUAAACGGUUGCGCUUUGUUGCACAUAUGUCUGAAGUAAAAGUCCAAUAACAGCAGUAAUCAUAAUCUUAUUCAUAACUUACUAUGCAAUGAAAUAGAAAAAUAUAAGCUAAACGCUAAGUUAAUGUUAGUUCAUGUUUUAUUACACUAAGCACCAUUUUAAUGCAUACAAGUUUUAUGUCUCUCAAUCUCAGGUGACAUCAUUUUCGAAACAAUUGCAGAUUGAUUGUUCAUUGAUUGCUGGAUAUAUAAAUACUUAGGCAUUUUUGCGUGUCAUUUAUUAUCUUAUCAACACGGAGUGAAAGAAUAAUUAUCUAUGUCGACGGUGCAUACAUGCAUACCUAUGAUAUCAACACGAUGACAGUGUAUAUAAGAGGGGAUUAUAUCUAAUAUCGGAAGAAAUGUAUAGAGACAUCAUCAGCAUUGUCGUCUUACAGGUGUUCAUCAUGUGCUGUUUUUUGACAUCUUACAAUUAUCUCACACUCAAGAGUUUGAGCUUAAAACUUGAAUAUGAAAAUCACUCCGUAAAAUACCAAAGACUGGAUCAAGCACGAUAGCCUGCUUAUUUCUAAGGUUUGGUAUUAAUAAUAACCUGACAAUGCUUAUCAUGAGACGACCGGAAAUAUCUAUAUCUCUACAAAGUGUUUUAUUAAAAAAACAAAAACAAUAUGACUUGUUUGUUAUGCACACAAAGUAUAACAACUAUUUCUUCACACAUAUUGUUCAUAAUCCAGAGAUAAUAUCAAUCGUUCGUAAACCUGAAAGACGAAUCAUCAGUCACGCUUUCUUCUUUAAGCUUUAUAAAAAAUAUGGGACUCUACGUGGACUUACUUCACAAAAUUUCAUAAACGAAGUGGUAAGCAAUACUGCAAAGUAUGGAGUGCAGAACAUCAUCUCAUCCUAUUUUGGUAUAAAGAAAAAUGAUGUCUCUAAACGUAAUUUGCAGACGUACCUUAUGAAACUUAAUUCUGAAUUUUUAUUAGUACUUGUUUUAGAAAGAAUAAACGAAUCCCUCGUUCUUCUCAAACGACUUUUAAAUUGGUCGGUGUUUGACAUAAUUUAUUCGCCAAAAAAAUCAAGUCAUCAUGAAAAUGUUUUUUUAAACGCAAGCCAGAUAAAACACUUAAGAUCUACAAACAGACCAGAUUAUGAAAUUUAUGAUUUCUUUUACAACGAACUUGAAAGGAAAUUACAAAAUGAAGGAGACGUUUUUAGACAAGAGGUUGCACAUUUUGAAAAUGUUUUGUGUCAGACACAAUUGUUUUGUCAAAAUAAAAACAAAUCAUCAUAUACUUUUCCAGCUUCGAGAUGGGAUGAAAGUUUUACAAUAUAUUUGGACGAUUGCAAUUUGAUAUUCAAGAAAGAUGUCCAGGGUUUGAAAGUAAACCGUAUAAAUUAUCCUUGAAACAUUCAUGUGAACUGUUGUGAUACAAUUACAGACACCACUUGUGUAAAAAUUUAGCGCUAUUCAUAGAGAUCAAACAUACCUUCAUCAUGAACACAAAUGUAAUUUGUCAGUAGUUAAAUUGAGUUAUAUAUAGAGAGAGAAUAUUAGGUUACUGUCUUAUAAAUUUAAAUUUAUUAAGUGAGUUGGAGAAAAUAUAAAAAUCGAGGCUCUGUCGAGACUUUAAAUUUUUCCGUAGACAAAUUAAAUAAAUUUAGAUUUAUAAGACAGUAACCUAAUGUUCUAUGUAUCCUACUUUCUGAUCUAAAAUCAUUCUUUAAUUAAAAUUCAAAAUUGACCACCAACUAAAUCUGAGUCUGUCUUGC